rnacentral:lncRNA from 1 species
GGAAUGUGCUGCAAGGCGCUGCCUCGCUCUGGAGCCAGACGAGAGGCCGGAGCAUCCGCCCCAACAUGGCUGGCUGUGUGAGCCUCAGGAACGCUGGCAGCUCUGCAAGACUCUCUGCCAUCUGCAAAAUAAGUAUGAAGAUAUGGUUUCCACACCAAUGUUAGGCCUUCUCAAGGAGCUUAGAGUGUGUCGGUGGAGAGGGAGAAGCCCAACGGGAGAUCUUAUUCCACCUCUGCACGUCUUCAGGACCCCUGUGGAAACAUGUGAUCUCUAACAGUCUCUCUGGGGCUCUGCCCACCCCCAGCAGUGUCACCUCACAUCACCGCACAAUAAGAACUUUCUCAUCAUGAACAUAGCUUUCUCUGGAGAAGCUGGGAAGUGCUUAACUAUGCCAGAAGCUGGACAAUUCAGGUAGAAGUGUAAAUGUUGGCCUAACCUUCAAAGGACAGAAAUAGCUUUCUUUGAAAGUUCUCAAAGGUGUUUCAGAACUCUGGAAAAUUUUAAAUCUUAAAAUAACA